rnacentral:rRNA from 1 species
UACGUAGGGUGCAAGCGUUGUCCGGAUUUACUGGGCGUAAAGAGCGCGCAGGCGGUCGUUCAAGUCGCGUGUGAAAGCCCCCGGCUCAACUGGGGAGGGUCACGCGAUACUGAUCGACUGGAAGUCAGGAGAGGGUAGUGGAAUUCCCGGUGUAGUGGUGAAAUGCGUAGAUAUCGGGAGGAACACCAGUGGCGAAGGCGACUACCUGGCCUGUUCUUGACGCUGAGGCGCGAAAGCUAGGGGAGCAAACGGG